rnacentral:rRNA from 1 species
GACGAACGCUGGCGGCGUGCUUAACACAUGCAAGUCGAACGGAAAGGCCCUGCUUUUGUGGGGUGCUCGAGUGGCGAACGGGUGAGUAACACGUGAGUAACCUGCCCUUGACUUUGGGAUAACUUCAGGAAACUGGGGCUAAUACCGGAUAGGAGCUCCUGCUGCAUGGUGGGCGUUGGAAAGUUUCGGCGGUUGGGGAUGGACUCGCGGCUUAUCAGCUUGUUGGUGGGGUAGUGGCUUACCAAGGCUUUGACGGGUAGCCGGCCUGAGAGGGUGACCGGCCACAUUGGGACUGAGAUACGGCGCAGACUCGUACGGGAGGCAGCAGUGGGGAAUAUUGCACAAUGGGCGGAAGCCGGGUGCAGCAACGCCGCGUGCGGGAUGACGGCCUUCGGGUUGUAAACCGCUUUCGCCUGUGACGAAGCGUGAGUGACGGUAAUGGGUAAAGAAGCACCGGCUAACUACGUG